rnacentral:rRNA from 2 species
AUCUGAACCUUCGGGGGACGAUAACGGCGUCGAGCGGCGGACGGGUGAGUAAUGCCUAGGAAAUUGCCCUGAUGUGGGGGAUAACCAUUGGAAACGAUGGCUAAUACCGCAUGAUGCCUACGGGCCAAAGAGGGGGACCUUCGGGCCUCUCGCGUCAGGAUAUGCCUAGGUGGGAUUAGCUAGUUGGUGAGGUAAGGGCUCACCAAGGCGACGAUCCCUAGCUGGUCUGAGAGGAUGAUCAGCCACACUGGAACUGAGACACGGUCCAGACUCCUACGGGAGGCAGCAGUGGGGAAUAUUGCACAAUGGGCGCAAGCCUGAUGCAGCCAUGCCGCGUGUAUGAAGAAGGCCUUCGGGUUGUAAAGUACUUUCAGUCGUGAGGAAGGUGGUAGUGUUAAUAGCGCUAUCGUUUGACGUUAGCGACAGAAGAAGCACCGGCUAACUCCGUGCCAGCAGCCGCGGUAAUACGGAGGGUGCGAGCGUUAAUCGGAAUUACUGGGCGUAAAGCGCAUGCAGGUGGUUUGUUAAGUCAGAUGUGAAAGCCCGGGGCUCAACCUCGGAAUAGCAUUUGAAACUGGCAGACUAGAGUACUGUAGAGGGGGGUAGAAUUUCAGGUGUAGCGGUGAAAUGCGUAGAGAU